AUCCCCUCUCCUCUUGUGGACCGCAGCGUGAGAGGGAGCGAGCGUGCGCUGCUGGCCCCUUCGCCCCGCCUGCGGGGAGAAGGGGCCGGCAGGCGGAUGA
rnacentral:sRNA from 1 species